CCAGACUCCUACGGGAGGCAGCAGUGGGGAUAUUGCACAAUGGGGGAAACCCUGAUGCAGCGACGCCGCGUGGGCGAAGAAGUAUUUCGGUAUGUAAAGCCCUAUCAGCAGGGAAGAAGAAAUGACGGUACCUGACUAAGAAGCCCCGGCUAACUACGUGCCAGCAACCGCGGUAAUACGUAGGGGGCAAGCGUUAUCCGGAUUUACUGGGUGUAAAGGGAGCGUAGACGGUUACGCAAGUCUGGAGUGAAAGGCGGGGGCCCAACCCGCGGACUGCUUUGGAAACUGUAUAACUGGAGUGCAGGAGAGGGAAGUGGAAUCCCUAGUGUAGCGGUGAAAUGCGUAGAUAUUAGGAGGAAAACCAGUGGCGAAGGCGGCGUACUGGACGGUAACUGACGUUGAGGCUCGAAAGCGUGGGGAGCAAACAGGAUUAGAUACCCUAG
rnacentral:rRNA from 1 species